UUACCAAACUACUAGGGGCAUUUUAUUUUUUGGAUUAUGGAUCCUUUCAGGUGGCAGGGGGCAUUUUAACUGAGGUGCAUAAGUCCACUUUUUCUAAGCAUCUUUCACAAGUUCUUGAUGGACUUUAUUAUAAUUGCAGAAUUUUUUUUUUUUUUUCCCACAUCACCCAGAGGAGAACCAGGUUGUUGGGCCUGCUGAAUUAAGAUAUAAUGAAGCACAUAUCAAAACACGUGCUAUAAUAGAAAGACUGUUCGGUGUUCUAAAAAUGCGCUUUCGCUGCCUGGACAGAUCAGGGGGAUCUCCAAUACAGUCCUGAAAAAGCAAUAAAAAUCAUAGUGGCAUGUUGCGGUCUACAUAACAUGGCACAGGAGCAUGGGGUGUUGAACGAUUUACUUCCACCACCACAGCCCCCAGGUGAAAUCUUUGAGCCUGAUGUAAUUAAUCAUCCCCAACCACUCAAUGGCAAUUUGGAGAGAACUACAACUAUUCGAGAUUUCUUUUCAGAUUGAAGAUUGUCAGUUAAAGAUUCUCAGAAAUGUAAUACCACUCCCCUUCCUCUCACCUCAUCCCUAUAUUUACCACAUUUUCCCUAAAUAAAUGUGUACUUUACUCAAA